rnacentral:tRNA from 1 species
GGGCUUGUGGUUUAGUGGUAUAAUACUCCCUUAGCAUCUAGUGGCUCCUCUCUCCCGAGAAGAGCCCAAGAAAUUGGGAGUGGUCCGGGGUUCGAUUCCCCGCGAGUCCA